rnacentral:lncRNA from 1 species
AUUAGCACACAUAUAUUAUCUUUAAAUUUUCUCAGAAACUUUGCUCUUUUGUAUCCUUUUCCCUCUCCAGCUGCACGGGUUACUAAACUGCUCAAGUAGAUGAGGAAAUUUCAUUUUUUGGCACUGGCUUGGCAUUCUACACUUGAGACUUCUGUUGUAUGAGAACUUGAAGGUGAGAAUCAUAUAUCAAGGCCCAGCUGUGACAGGACACAAUCCUGGCAAGAAUUUGACUCCAGCAAGUUAGAGAAAUUCCACCUGGACUAUGUGUCCCACAAUCAAA